GAGGGGAUGGCUCAGUGGUAGAGCGCAUGCUUAGCAUGCACGAGGUUCUGGGUUCAAUCCCCAAUACCUCCA
rnacentral:tRNA from 1 species